rnacentral:rRNA from 1 species
CGGGUGAGUAACGCGUGGAGAACCUGCCGUAUACUGGGGGAUAACACUUAGAAAUAGGUGCUAAUACCGCAUAAGCGCACAGCUUCGCAUGAAGCAGUGUGAAAAACUCCGGUGGUAUACGAUGGAUCCGCGUCUGAUUAGCUGUUGGCGGGGUAAAGGCCCACCAAGGCGACGAUCAGUAGCCGGCCUGAGAGGGUGAACGGCCACAUUGGGACUGAGACACGGCCCAAACUCCUACGGGAGGCAGCAG